rnacentral:lncRNA from 1 species
CGAAAAGUGUUAAUCAUGUGACACAGGCACCCCCGCCUGCUCAGUCUAGUCGCUACUGUUGGAGGACAAAGAGCUGAAAGAAGAGGCGGUUUUCGCGGAGAAGAAAUGGCGCCAGAACACUAGGAAGACCUUAGAGAUUUUAGUCCCCUGAAAAUGUGAAGUUGUGCCAGCCUUUGCAUAUGUUUUCUACCUUCAGUCAACUACAAGUAUCUCCUAUUUACAUGAGAGAUUUUAGUCCCCUGGAAAUGUGAAAUUAUGCCAGUCUUUGCAUAUGUCUUUACCUUCAGUCAGCUAUAAGUAUCUUAGAACUAUUUGCUUUCUGGAUCAUGACACUGGCAAACGGUGCUGCAUUUAAAUCGGUAUGGAUUGAAAGGAGAGAAAGCUGAAAGUUGAAAUAAUACAUGAAAUUUUAAACAAGUUUUACAAAAUCUAUAGAGAAUAGAAGAAAUUUAAUGACCAAGAUGUAAAAAUUGUUUGUAAAUUUAAGCUUGCAGAAAAAAAGUGAACAGACCCGCAGGACUCAACCUUAAUUUCCAGGGUUAGAGUUAGAAUUCUGUCUCAUUGAACACUGUCAACUUUUAAAAAUAUACCAAGCAAAUAUAUUAAAUUACAUGUAAAUACAUAUAUGGUGCCAGUCAGUGUUGAUGUGUUAUUUAUGAAACUGUUUGAACUUGUGCAAAUCAUUAAAUAACAAUUGUUUCCAAUAAACAUGUAAAUACAA